rnacentral:tRNA from 1 species
UCCGUUGAUUUUAAAAAUCGUGAGGGUUCAAGUCCCUCUAUCCCCAAAAAAAGCCCAUUUGACUCCUUAA